UUUCGCACUUUCUCACUUUAGUACCCUGUGGUUUAAAGUGUAUCAAUUUGAUGCCCUGCGGUUUCAUUUUUCUCUUUUUAUUAUCAAUUUUUAUUAUUUUUUUUUCUUAAAUCAGUGAUAAAGUUAAAAUUAAAGAGUACUAAAAUGAAUAUUCGACAAACCUAGGUGGGUAUCUGAAGUUUUUUGUAUAUAAUUUAACGAAAUAUUAACGAAAAAGCUGCCGCAAAGAUAAAAUUGAAACCACAGGGCACCGAAUUGAUAGACUUUAAACCACAGGGUACUAAAGUGAGAAAGUGUGAAACCACAGGGGUUUUUUUUUGAAGUUUUUUCUUUUUUUUGUAAUUUGAAAUGCUUACUAUUUAAUUUAGAAGUUUUAAAUACUGAGUAUUUAUUUUUUUGUUUCAGAAAGCUGACAACAUUUAGUUGAAAUUGUUUGGAUCUGAAUCUGUAAGUUUUUAGUUCAUCAAUUUUUUAGAUAUAUAUGCUUAUUGUAUGCAUGUGUCUGGUAUAAACGUAAAAACAAAAGAAAUUAAUCACUAGAAACUAAUUGUGUGAGACAAUAUUAUACAUAUUAACAAAUAAUAUGAC
rnacentral:lncRNA from 1 species